AGUGAACGCUGGCGGUAGGCCUAACACAUGCAAGUCGAACGGCAGCACAGGAGAGCUCGCUCUCUGGGUGGCGAGUGGCGGACGGGUGAGGAAUACAUCGGAAUCUACUCUGUCGUGGGGGAUAACGUAGGGAAACUUACGCUAAUACCGCAUACGACCUACGGGUGAAAGCAGGGGACCUUCGUGCCUUGCGCGAUUGAAUGAGCUGAUGUCGGAUUAGCUAGUUGGCGGGGUAAAGGCCCACCAAGGCGACGAUCCGUAGCUGGUCUGAGAGGAUGAUCAGCCACGCUGGAACUGAGACACGGUCCAGACUCCUACGGGAGGCAGCAGUGGGGAAUAUUGGACAAUGGGCGCAAGCCUGAUCCAGCCAUACCGCGUGGGUGAAGAAGGCCUUCGGGUUGUAAAGCCCUUUUGUUGGGAAAGAAAUCCAGCUGGCUAAUACCCGGUUGGGAUGACGGUACCCAAAGAAUAAGCACCGGCUAACUUCGUGCCAGCAGCCGCCGUAA
rnacentral:rRNA from 1 species